ACGCUGCAUGAGCUCGCAGCCAUGCCUCACCUUCUGCGUGUCCUCGAAGAAUAGCGUCACUGGGCUUCAGAUUUCUUCACCGUGUUUGUCUUGAAGGUCAAUGCAGUGGAGUUUAAUCAGAUCAGUCUCUCAGAAGAGGGUGAAGAGCAAAACAGACAACUGGAAAGACGUAUAAACAAUUUUCCUGACAGCCGAGGCUUUGAGACGGCAGCACCAGGAGGGAAGAGGAGGACGACGAAGAACCGGAACGUGAAGAACCACCAGCAGCAGCAACUACCACCUCUGAAAAUGCAUUCCAGUUUGCGACAUAUUUAAAAGGAGACCCUGCAAAGCCCUCUGUCGCAAGCAUCCGGCUCGGCUUACAUCACCCGAAAGACUUAUGCUGCGCCGGAUCAGCGUAAAGCCUGACAAGAUGUCCCGGGUGAUUUGCGAGGAGAACCUCUAGAGGUACUAGGAGCUGGCAGAAGGAGAGAUACCCGAGGCCUCUGGUUUUCUAUGCCGCAACGCCACGAGGAUUUUUGUAUUUUUUUGUAGGAGGUUCAAGCGUCCGAUUGGGAUGUCUCCUGACAUCCUUCUUCCAGAGGUUCUCCAGGCGUGUCCAACGGUAACGAGGGGCCCGGGGCAUCGGGCCUGAGGACAUCCUGGAGCUGUAGGACGUGUGGACCACAACAGACCAGAAUAGCAACCACAAUCAGAACAUCCAGCAUGACAGCCGUGGCAGACGCUCGCCAGUCC
ensembl:lncRNA